UGCUAGUCGCACGAGUUCAGACUCGUGGCGGAAAGCUCAGUAACACGUGGCCAAACUACCCUACGGAUCGGGAUAACCUCGGGAAACUGAGGCUAAUACCGAAUACGGCUCUCAGCCUGGAGUGGCGAGAGCCGGAAACGCUCCGGCGCCGUAGGAUGUGGCUGCGGCCGAUUAGGUAGACGGUGGGGUAACGGCCCACCGUGCCCAUAAUCGGUACGGGUCAUGAGAGUGAGAGCCCGGAGACGGUAUCUGAGACAAGAUACCGGGCCCUACGGGGCGCAGCAGGCGCGAAACCUUUACACUGCACGUCAGUGCGAUAGGGGGACUCCGAGUGCGAGGGCAUACAGUCCUCGCUUUUCUGUACCGUAAGGUGGUACAGGAACAAGUGCUGGGCAAGACCGGUGCCAGCCGCCGCGGUAAUACCGGCAGCACGAGUGAUGGCCGAUAUUAUUGGGCCUAAAGCGUCCGUAGCUGGCCGAACAAGUCCGUUGGGAAAUCGACGCGCCCAACGCGUCGGCGUCCAGCGGAAACUGUUCGGCUUGGGGCCGGAGGACUCGAGGGGUACGUCCGGGGUAGGAGUGAAAUCCCGUAAUCCUGGACGGACCACCGGUGGCGAAAGCGCCUCGAGAGGACGGACCCGACAGUGAGGGACGAAAGCCAGGGUCUCGAACCGGAUUAGAUACCCGGGUAGUCCUGGCCGUAAACGAUGUCCGCUA
rnacentral:rRNA from 1 species